rnacentral:rRNA from 1 species
UACGUAGGGUGCAAGCGUUGUCCGGAAUUAUUGGGCGUAAAGAGCUCGUAGGCGGUCUGUCGCGUCUGCUGUGAAAACUCAGGGCUUAACCCUGAGCUUGCAGUGGGUACGGGCAGACUAGAGUGCGGUAGGGGAGACUGGAAUUCCUGGUGUAGCGGUGAAAUGCGCAGAUAUCAGGAGGAACACCGGUGGCGAAGGCGGGUCUCUGGGCCGUAACUGACGCUGGAGGAGCGGAAAGCAUG